rnacentral:rRNA from 1 species
GAGGUUGAUUCCUUGAUGGGGAUGAACGCUGGCGGCGUGCCUAACACAUGCACUUCGAACGGAGUGUUGAGAGCUUGCUUUUAACACUUAGUGGCGGACGGGUGAGUAAUGUAUGAGCAACCUGCCUUUCAGAGGGGGACAACAGUUGGAAACGACUGCUAAUACCGCAUAAUGUGCGUUGAAGGCAUCUUCAAUGUACCAAAGGAGCAAUCCGCUGAAAGAUGGGCUCAUAUCUGAUUAGCUAGUUGGUGAGGUAACGGCUCACCAAGGCUGCGAUCAGUAGCCGGACUGAGAGGUUGAACGGCCACAUUGGGACUGAGAUACGGCCCAGACUCCUACGGGAGGCUGCAGUAGGGAAUUUUCGGCAAUGGGGGGAACCCUGACCGAGCAACGCCGCGUGAAGGAAGAAGGAAUUCGUUCUGUAAACUUCUGUCAGGAAAUGGACUGCAGGUGACGGUACUUUAUGAGAAAGCCACGGCUAACUACGUGCCAGCAGCCGCGGUAAUACGUAGGGUGCAAGCGUUAUCCGGAAUUAUUGGGCGUAAAGGGCUCGUAGGCGGUUCGUCGCGUCGGAUGUGAAAUCCCGGGCUUAACCUGGGUGCUGCAUUCCAAACUGGAUAUCUAGAGUGCAGGAGAGGAAAGGAGAAUUCCUAGUGUAGCGGUGAAAUGCGUAGAUAUUAGGAAGAACACCAGUGGCGAAGGCGACUUUCUGGACGAAAACUGACGCUGAGGCGCGAAAGCCAGGGGAGCGAACGGGAUUAGAUACCCCGGUAGUCCUGGCCGUAAACGAUGGGUACUAGGUGUAGGAGGUAUCGACCCCUUCUGUGCCGGAGUUAACGCAAUAAGUACCCCGCCUGGGGAGUACGACCGCAAGGUUGAAACUCAAAGGAAUUGACGGGGGCCCGCACAAGCGGUGGAGCAUGUGGUUUAAUUCGAUGCAACGCGAAGAACCUUACCUGGUCUUGACAUCCUUUGACCACUCUAGAGAUAGAGCUUUCCCUUCGGGGACAAAGUGACAGGUGGUGCAUGGUUGUCGUCAGCUCGUGUCGUGAGAUGUUGGGUUAAGUCCCGCAACGAGCGCAACCCCUAUCCUAUGUUACCAGCGGGUAAUGCCGGGGACUCAUAGGAGACUGCCAAGGACAACUUGGAGGAAGGCGGGGAUGACGUCAAGUCAUCAUGCCCCUUAUGUCUUGGGCUACACACGUACUACAAUGGUCGGCAACAGAGGGAAGCGAAGCCGUGAGGCAGAGCAAACCCCAGAAACCCGAUCUCAGUUCGGAUUGCAGGCUGCAACUCGACUACACGAAGCUGGAAUAGCUAGUAAUCGCGAAUCAGAAUGUCGCGGUGAAU